rnacentral:rRNA from 1 species
GACGAACGCUGGCGGUAUGCUUAACACAUGCAAGUCGAACGAGACGAGAUGGAAGUGCUUGCACGGAAAUCUUAGAAAGUGGCGAACGGGUGAGUAACGCGUGGGUAACCUGCCCUAUGGAAAGGAAUAGCCUCGGGAAACUGGGAGUAAUGCCUUAUAAUACAUUGAAGUCGCAUGGCUUUGAUGUUAAACGCUCCGGUGCCAUAGGAUGGACCCGCGUCCCAUUAGCUAGUUGGUGAGAUAACAGCCCACCAAGGCGACGAUGGGUAACCGGUCUGAGAGGGCGAACGGUCACACUGGAACUGAGACACGGUCCAGACUCCUACGGGAGGCAGCAGUGGGGAAUAUUGCGCAAUGGGGGAAACCCUGACGCAGCAAUACCGCGUGAGUGAAGAAGGUUUUCGGAUCGUAAAGCUCUGUUAUUGGGGAAGAAAAAAGACGGUACCCAAGAAGAAAGUCCCGGCUAACUACGUG